CCCCCACCCCAACCGGGAUCCCCAGAUAAUGAGAAAUAGAUGGUGGCCCUCUGUUUGUAAGCUGUUCAUUUGCAUAGGUCGGAACCGCGCACCACAGCUUGAAGCUAGGAAUUAAAAUAUCGGUGGGAAUUAAAUAAGUGGCUGGCUUAAAGAACAUCUUCUUAAUUUAUCCCCAAAUGUAGACAUCUCUUCAGUGGACCCCCUGAUAGGCCGGUUUGCUCCAGAAGAGACGGGGUUUCACCAUGUUGGCCAUGAUGGUCUCGAUUUCUGACCUUGUCAUCCGUCCGCCUUGGCCUCCCAAAGUGCUGGGAUUACGGGCGUGAGCCACCGUACCCAGCCUGCUUCCUGUUUUAACAGACGAAGAAAUGGAAUAACUUCCAACAAGUUGGAGCUGAAGGAGUGCCCAGGCUGCGGAUGGAGGAAGGACGUGCUCGGGAGAAGGUGAAGAUGGGAGAGAAGCAAGAUCUUCUGUGUUUGGACCAAGGACACAUUUCCUUACUCCAUAGCAGCUGUGCAUGGAAUAUGGAUGUGUGGUCUGGAUGUACAGACACCAUUUUGGACCAUAAAGACAAGGACGAUUGUCUAAGGAUGACACAGCCAGAGCACUGAGAGUGGCGAGAAGGACAGGGGAGCUGCUGUGCCAAGCAGGACUGUCUCUC
rnacentral:lncRNA from 1 species